rnacentral:rRNA from 1 species
UACGGGGGAGGCAAGCGUUGUUCGGAAUUACUGGGCGUAAAGGGUUUGUAGGUGGCCUGCUAAGUCAGACGUGAAAUCCCUCAGCUUAACUGGGGAACUGCGUCUGAGACUGGUAGGCUCGAGGACAGGAGAGGAACGCGGAAUUCCAGGUGUAGCGGUGAAAUGCGUAGAUAUCAGGAGGAACACCAGUGGCGAAGGCGGUUACCUGGAGCUUUGCUGACGCUGAUGCGCGAAAGCGUGGGGAGCGAUCCGG